rnacentral:rRNA from 1 species
AUUGAACGCUGGCGGCAGGCUUAACACAUGCAAGUCGAGCGAGCGGCGGACGGGUGAGUAAUGUCUGGGAAAAUGCCUGAUGGAGGGGGAUAACUACUGGAAACGGUAGCUAAUACCGCAUACCAUCAGAUGGGCCCAGAUGGGAUUAGCUAGUAGGUGGGGUAAUGGCUCACGUAGGCGACAAUCCCUAGCUGGGCUGAGAGGAUGACCAGCCACAUGGGAACUUAGACAGGUUCCGAACUCCUACGGGAGGCAGCAGUGGGGAAUAGUGCACAAUGGGCGCAAGCCUGAUGCAGCCAUGCCGCGUGUGUGAAUAAGGCCUUCGGGUUGUAAAGCACUUUAAGCGAGUAGGCGUUACGCGCAGAAGAAGCACCGGCUAACUCCGUGCCAGCAGCCGCGGUAAUAC